GGCAGAGGGUGCAAACGUUGUUCGGAAUUACUGGGCGUAAAGCGCGUGUAGGCUGCUCUGCAAGUCGGAUGUGAAAGCCCUGGGCUCAACCUAGGAAGUGCAUUCGAAACUGCAGAGCUGGAGUCCUGGAGAGGAAGGCGGAAUUCUCGGUGUAGAGGUGAAAUUCGUAGAUAUCGAGAGGAACACCGGUGGCGAAGGCGGCCUUCUGGACAGUGACUGACGCUGAGACGCGAAAGCGUGGGGAGCAAACAGG
rnacentral:rRNA from 1 species